AUGCCAGAAUCAGACCGUUCUAACACAGGGUUUACGAAUCCAGAGUACUCGGAAUUGCCAUUGUCAUCCACUUCGGCACUGACGAAGUCGUUCUCCCACUCCAGCCUGUUGGAGUCCUCCGAGGCGGACGUGGGGUUACUUCCUGCUGCUGGACGUCAGAGCGGCCCGAAGGAUGUCCUCCUCUGUCUUGGAGCGUUCCCGCACCAGAAACAUUCUGUUCACCCCUUCCUGAUCUUCCCACUCCAGGUCCUAAGGACGUGUUGUCGUCAUUUCCAUUGGUGGAUCUUGUCUUGGUCAUUAAGUCACAGCUGCUUUCUGUAUUUGGUGUCAGUACUGUGGCAUCUGAGGAGAGUCUACUACUUCGAAAAACUUCAUACUGUGAUUUUAUAUUUCUCAUGCAAGAUUCAAAGUCGUCUUCUGGUCCUGAGCUCGGAUGGUCACCAUUGCUGGGGUGGUGAUACUGAUGCACAACUCUCCGCCUUCCUUGCUCUUUCUGGAUUUUCUUAUCAAGAUCUUUCUGUUUUUCAGCAAUAGAAUCAUAAUGCCUCUCUCGUAGGUCAACAAUUUCUUCCUCUGUAAGAGGCCUAUCUGUAAGAGGACUGCUUCCUGGGCCCUCUCUUUCAUCACUUUCUACGAGAUUCUCAAACUCUAUAGUCAAGUGCUCACCCCUUGAGCAUGUUCUAAAGUACUUGGAUCCUCCGCCGCCUGGCCUGCGCGCUGCAGCCGCCCCGCUUCCUUGGGGAGCAGCCCGCAGCACUGCGUCCUGCAGCAGUUCCCAUCGCAUGCCUCCCGGCGCCGCCGCCCGCCGGCCGAGCGCCGGGCACCGCGGGGAUGCGCGCUCCGAACAAAGGCGCGCCACUCCAGCGGCCGCCGAGGGCCUGGGCCUCCGCCGCGGUCCGCAUGGCCGUCAGGGGGCGCGAGCGACCGCCUCCAGCCACCGCGGGAGGCCC
rnacentral:lncRNA from 1 species